rnacentral:rRNA from 1 species
GACGAACGCUGGCGGCGUGCUUAACACAUGCCAGUCGAACGGAAAGGCCCUGCUUGCAGGGUGCUCGAGUGGCGAACGGGUGAGUAACACGUGGGUGAUCUGCCCCUUACUUUGGGAUAAGCCUGGGAAACUGGGUCUAAUACUGGAUAGGACCAUGCUGUAGGUGGUGUGGUGGAAAGAUUAGUUUCGGUAAGGGAUGAGCUCGCGGCCUAUCAGCUUGUUGGUGGGGUAAUGGCCUACCAAGGCGUCGACGGGUAGCCGGCCUGAGAGGGUGGACGGCCACAUUGGGACUGAGAUACGGCCCAGACUCCUACGGGAGGCAGCAGUGGGGAAUAUUGCACAAUGGGCGCAAGCCUGAUGCAGCGACGCCGCGUGGGGGAUGACGGCCUUCGGGUUGUAAACUCCUUUCAGCCAUGACGAAGCCCUUGCGGUGACGGUAGUGGUAGAAGAAGCACCGGCUAACUACGUG